rnacentral:rRNA from 1 species
UACGGAGGGUGCUAGCGUUGUUCGGAUAUACUGGGCGUAAAGCGCACGUAGGCGGCGCCGUAAGUCAGGGGUGAAAUCCCGGAGCUCAACUCCGGAACUGCCCUUGAAACUGCAGUGCUAGAAUUCUGGAGAGGCGAGUGGAAUUCCGAGUGUAGAGGUGAAAUUCGUAGAUAUUCGGAAGAACACCAGUGGCGAAGGCGACUCGCUGGACAGACAUUGACGCUGAGGUGCGAAAGCGUGGGGAGCAAACAGG